GACAAACUCUUCAUCUCAAGAGGCCUAUGUGGAGAAGAAACAGGUUCUGCCAAGAAAACGUCAAACCAGAGUUUGCCUGAACGGAAUGUUGAGAAGAAGUCACUUUCGGCAGAGGAUCACAGAGAAAAGUUGAAACAGAGCGAGUUCGUUCAGCUGAUUUUUAGCUCUAUGAUUCUUGAAGACGAUUCAUGAAGGAGAGGACAUAACUUCUCAACGGUUAUUAGAUCAUUCAACGAUUGGGGAACAAAAAUGUAAUGGAGUUGUUGUUAAGCAAGAAGUUGAUAUAGGGAAGUGUUUGGGGAUUACCAGAAUAAUGUUAGAGAGAUUUGUAUUGAAGAGUCAAAGAGAGACAUGAAUAAUGAGUAUUAUUAUUUAUCUUA